rnacentral:rRNA from 1 species
UGAACCAGCUAUGUCGCGUGUACGAAGACAGUCUUUUAGUUUGUAAACUACUUUUGCAUAGAAAUAAAGCUACCUNCGUGAUAGUAGCCUGAAGGUACUAUGCGAAUAAGUGUCGGCUAAUUUCGUGCCAGCAGCCGCGGUAAUACGAAAGACACAAGCGUUAUCCAGAUUUAUUGGGUUUAAAGGGUGUGUAGGCUGUUUAUUAAGUCAGUAGUGAAAGCUUACAGCUUAACUGUAAAAUUGCUAUUGAUACUGAUAAUCUUGAGUAAGAUUGGAGUAUUUGGAAUGUAUGGUGUAGCGGUGAAAUGCAUAGAUAUCAUACAGAACACCAAUAGCGAAGGCAGGAUGCUAAAUCUUCACUGACGCUGAGGCACUAAAGCGUGGGGAGCAAAUAGGAUUAGAUACCCUAGUAGUCCACUGCCCUAAACGAUGAUCACUAGCUAUUGGAAAAACUAUAUUCAGUGGCUAAGCUAAAGCGAUAAGUGAUCCACCUGGGAAGUACGAUCGCAAGAUUGAAACUCAAAGGAAUUGACGGGGUUUCGCACAAGCGGUGGAGCAUGUGGUUUAAUUCGAUGAUACGCGAGGAACCUUACCAAGGCUUAAAUGUAUAACGAAUAAGCUGGAAACAACUUAGUCUAUAAGACGUAAUACAAGGUGCUGCAUGGUUGUCUUCAGUUCGUGCUGUGAAGUGUUGGGUUAAGUCCUAUAACGAGCGCAACCCCUAUUGUUAGUUGCCAGCGGGUAAGCCGGGGACUCUAACAAAACUGCCGGUGCAAACUGCGAGGAAGGUGGGGAUAAUGUCAAAUCAUUAUGGCCUUAAUGUCUUGGGCUACACACGUGCUACAAUGGCUGAUACAAAGGGCAGCCACUGGGUGACCAGGAGCUAAUCUCUAAAAACAGUCUAAGUUCGGAUUGGAGUCUGCAAUUCGACUCUAUGAAGCUGGAAUCGCUAGUAAUCGCGCAUCAGCAAUGGCG